rnacentral:lncRNA from 1 species
GCAUCCUCAUGACAAGCCUGUGAGGCGAGUACCAUUACACCAGUCUUGCCGACGGGGAACCAACUGCAGGUUCACUCUGAGCAGCAGAACCCCUAUCUUCUGCCCAAAAUCUGGUUGUUUGCCCAGUGCUCUUGGCCUGUGCCUAGCAGGCUCAUUUCUUAAAGCCCACCUACAAGAGGAUCCUCCAGGAAACUCCCUCUCCCCAAAUCCAACUAACAACCAAAUCUUGAUGAUUUGUCUCCAUCUCUUUCAAGUCUGCUAACUUGUGCCCAUACUAACAGCCACUGGCUUAUUUCAGAUCCUCCUCAUUUUUCUCCUAGACUACUAGAAUUUCUUAGUGUACUCUCAGAACAGAAACCUUUGGUGGGGGUCUGUGCAACU